rnacentral:tRNA from 1 species
GCGGCCGUAGUCUAGCCUGGUCUAGGACGUUAGCCUGCCACGCUAAGGACCCGGGUUCGAAUCCCGGCGGCCGCACCA